rnacentral:rRNA from 1 species
UACGUAGGCAGCGAGCGUUGUUCGGAGUUACUGGGCGUAAAGGGUGUGUAGGCGGUUUUCUAAGUUUGGUGUGAAAUCUCCCGGCUCAACCGGGAGGGUGCGCCGAAAACUGGGAGACUAGAGUGCGGGAUGGGAGAGUAGAAUUCCUGGUGUAGCGGUGAAAUGCGUAGAUAUGUGGAGGAACACCGAUGGCGAAGGCAGCCCCCUGGGUUAACACUGACGCUCAGGCACGAAAGCGUGGGGAGCAAACGGG